GUGGCCUUGUUUCGUUUGCCCUUUUUGUUCCUCUUUUCCAGUAACCGAAUGCGGAUCGGACGUAAUCCAUCCGUUCGUAUAUAUUUCACCGUUAAUGUUUGUAUUAAUUAUAGUGUUUAACCCUAACGAAGGAUUCUAUUUGAAUAAGUUAGUAUAGAUAUAGAAAGAUGACACAUGCAAUUUUAAGUUUUUGUUGCGACUUGCACUAAAGGUUACUGUUGCGUUGCAAUUGUUUGUGUGACGUAACUAUGGGAGUAGGAGCAAGAAGAGCUGGGAGAAGAGCAGGAAGAGCAAGACGUCGCAGAGCCAAUCACCAUCGUCAUCACAGGACUGGCAUACGUCACAACAUACACCAUAGGGGACGUGUUCGUCGUGUUGGAGUCGUGAGAGGGGGGAGAUCUGCUACGGUGGUCCAUUUACGAACCCCUGCCCAAAAAGUUGGGUGUGUUUCUGUGGCCUUGCUGUUUAUGUUCGCGUUUGUAAGCGUACCUUUACUUUCCAUCGGAAGUUCAGAAAUGGGAGCCUUGUUUUACAUCGGUAUUAGUUUUGUUGUACUUGCCGUCGUCUGUUUAAUCACUUGCUUAUCCAUACAAGCCAAGAAGUCGCUCAAUCCGGUCGUUCCACCUUCUACAACCAGCACCACCACUUUUACGACACAAAUGGGUUCUAUGCCAUCGACUGUAUUUAUGACCAACGAGACAGGCACUGUACACUACCCACCAACGACAGAACCAUCAUUUCAGCAGCCGUCCAAUUACACUACCGCCCCAACGACUGCUGCAAACUUCGCACCGUACUAUGCACCUCCAAUGGGUCAACCCUAUCCAAAUACAGCUCCUACUAAUCAAAUACCGACUACCACAUACCCGCCUCAAGGUGUAAUCAUUCACGCUGACUUGCCCCCCUCCUACGACGAAGUGACAUCAAACGAUAUAUACAAAAGCCCAUCGUAAACGUGAAACCUAUUUAAAAAAUUAUUAUGGUACUGUACAGAGUGGUAAUUCAGAGCGUCAAUGGUGCAUUUAUAGAAGUAUAUUUAAACUUUGUUCAAAUUGCAUUGAACAAAUAAACACCUUAUAACGAUUAAGGUGAUAUAUGAUAUAUUCUGCAGCAAACUACGUGCCUUGUAAUAUCCCAACCGCAAGUUUUGUAGCCUUAUCCGUUUGAACAUUGUACUUACCUACAAUAUUGUACACUAUAUUGUGAUUGAGAACAGGUAGACCACAUGUCAAGUUUUCGAAUAAGGCACUGGCGAUCUAUUCCGUCUGUUUGUGUGAUUAAGAAUAUGGUUCCAUCGUUGUUGGUUCUUUUUUGGUUACCUAUAAAAGAAUAGCUUGAUAAAUUACUUGUACUACUCGGCCGUUGCAUUAGUAUUCUAACAGUUGCAAACUACGUUUUAAUUUUAUAAUGGUAUUUGUGUACAGCAAUAUUUACAUUACGAAAUAUCGUAAUAAAUUAUACGUAAUUCAAAUAUCAUUGUCAUAUAAAAAAAUAUAAUACACUUCUAUUGCU